UGCAAGUCUGCAACCAGUCAGUCUUGUGCUGGAGUUUGGAAGAGAGGGACGCGCUGCCCUCCUCUUCCUCCUCCUCCUCCUCCUCCUCUUCCUCCUCCUCCUCCACCAACGCCAUCGGAAAGUGGUGGUGGUGGUGGUGGUGGCGGUGAUGUGAUGGUGGUGGUGGAUGGUGAUGACGGUGGUGAUACAGUGAUGCAGUGACAGAACAUAGACGAUAUAAUAACACGUGAACAGUGAACAGUAUAAGGAGAGAGAAACGUAAUCCAUAGUGAACAUUUUCUAUUUCUUUUUUAUAUAUCAAUUCAACCCCAAACAAUACAGAAGACAGUGCAACAGGAAGACAGGAUGUGAGAAUUGAAAGGAAAAGUGAUGAAAGGAAGGAAGAAAGGAAGCAAGGAAAAGGAAGACAAGGAACACGUGCUAGUCAGUGAAGUAUGUAAUAACUAAGAAUAAAGAUAGUAAGAAUAAGUAAUGCCAUGAUGGGCUUAGAGACAGAAGAAGAAAAGGAAAGAAAGCACAGUAAGGAAAUAUGCAAGUAAUUAAAGAAAGACAAAUGGAGGCCUAAGACAAUUGAAGAGAAUACAAAGACAAACAAGACAAGACAUUUUGAUAGAGUAAACAAUACUAGCAUAAGUAUUAGAUAAACAAGAUUACGAAUUACUAUACAGUGUGAGACGAAUGAUAACAGAAGAUAAGAAGGUAACAAAAAGACGAUAAAGGUAUAAUUAAACAGUAAAAUAUAAGUGGCAGUGUGAUGUUUUAAGAGAAAGGAAGGAAAACAAUAAUAGAGAAAGUGUUACCAACGAAAAGAAAACCAGAACACGUAAUAUGUAAAGAAAACAAAAGAAAGGAAAGCAAGAAAAAAGUAUUACGACCAAAACAAAAGAAGAAACAAAGAUACAACAAAACUAAAUAAAAAUAAACCACACCAAAGAAAAAAGAAACACGAUUAACUUGAGCGAGAGAAAGAAAGAAAAAAAGAAAACUAAACAAAAACAAAUCAAAGAAAAAAAAACGAACAUGUGAUUAAUUCUCUAAAAGUCAAAGAAAAAAUAAAUAAAGGAAACAAAACCAAAGAAAAACAAAACCGAACAUGUGAUUAGAUUUACACGAGAAAGAAAGAAAGAAACAAAAAAGUUCGCCAUGUUUCCCAAAAUUCACCUGAUUGAUUUAACAACGGUGGCGCCUCUGCUGCUGCCGUUUGUGUACCUGGCAGGCGGAGGCUUCUACCAGGUGUUCAGCGUGAUUUGUUGAUAUAGUGGAAUAGUGGUGACGCUCCCAACCCUCAACACAACGAAAAUAAAGGAAGAGGAACAGAAAAAACACAAAUAAAAAUAAAUAGACAGUGUAAAGCCAUAAUCCAUCUCUCCA